AUUGAACGCUGGCGGCAUGCUUUACACAUGCAAGUCGAACGGCAGCGGGGAGGAGCUUGCUUCUCUGCCGGCGAGUGGCGAACGGGUGAGUAAUACAUCGGAACGUGUCGAGAAGAGGGGGAUAACCACCCGAAAGGGUGGCUAAUACCGCAUAAAUUCUGAGGAAGAAAGCUGGGGACCUAGGAAUAGGCCUAGCGCUUUUUGAGCGGCCGAUGUCGGAUUAGCUAGUUGGUGAGGUAAAGGCUCACCAAGGCGAAGAUCUGUAGCGGGUCUGAGAGGAUGAUCCGCCACACUGGGACUGAGACACGGCCCAGACUCCUACGGGAGGCAGCAGUGGGGAAUUUUGGACAAUGGGGGCAACCCUGAUCCAGCCAUGCCGCGUGUAUGAAGAAGGCCUUAGGUUUGUAAAGUACUUUUGUUAGGGAAGAAAAGUCAGCUGUGAAUAAUGGCUGAUACUGACGGUACCUAAAGAAUAAGCACCGGCUAACUACGUG
rnacentral:rRNA from 1 species